rnacentral:rRNA from 1 species
GAUGAACGCUGGCGGCGUGCCUAAUACAUGCAAGUCGAGCGAAUGGAUUAAGAGCUUGCUCUUAUGAAGUUAGCGGCGGACGGGUGAGUAACACGUGGGUAACCUGCCCAUAAGACUGGGAUAACUCCGGGAAACCGGGGCUAAUACCGGAUAACAUUUUGAACCGCAUGGUUCGAAAUUGAAAGGCGGCUUCGGCUGUCACUUAUGGAUGGACCCGCGUCGCAUUAGCUAGUUGGUGAGGUAACGGCUCACCAAGGCAACGAUGCGUAGCCGACCUGAGAGGGUGAUCGGCCACACUGGGACUGAGAAACGGCCCAGACUCCUACGGGAGGCAGCAGUAGGGAAUCUUCCGCAAUGGACGAAAGUCUGACGGAGCAACGCCGCGUGUGUGAUGAAGGCUUUCGGGUCGUAAAACUCUGUUGUUAGGGAAGAACAAGUGCUAGUUGAAUAAGCUGGCACCUUGACGGUACCUAACCAGAAAGCCACGGCUAACUACGUGCCAGCCGCCGCCGUAA